CCAAGUUGAUGACUUUCGGCGUAAAGAGUGGUUAAGAGAGCCCCACACUAAAGCCGAACGACCUCAUAGCUGUUAUACGCGCAUGAAAGUACGAACCCCAACUACGAAAGUGGCUUUAAACUCCUGACCCCACGAAAGCUAGGAAACAAACUGGGAUUAGAUACCCCACUAUGCCUAGCCCUAAACAUCGAUAAUAAUUUACCUACUUUAUCCGCCCGGGUACUACGAGCAUUAGCUUAAAACCCAAAGGACUUGGCGGUGCUUCAGACCCACCUAGAGGAGCCUGUUCUAGAACCGAUAAUCCCCGUUAAACCUCACCUUUCCUUGUAUUUUCCGCCUAUAUACCGCCGUCGUCAGCUUACUCUGUGAAGAACUUGUAGUAUGCACAAUUGGCUCAGCCCAAAACGCCAGGUCGAGGUGUAGCGUAUGGAAAGGGAAGAAAUGGGCUACAUUCAAUAGCUAUAAUGAAUACGAAUGAUAUCAUGAAAAAAAUAUCUGAAGGAGGAUUUAGCAGUAAGCAGAGAAUAGAGUGCUCUGCUGAAGCUGGCCCUGAAGCGCGUACACACCGCCCGUCACUCUCCCCGAAAACAAAUCAAUACAUCACUAAUCAACUAAAGCCAUAGAGG
rnacentral:rRNA from 1 species